AUCGAGCUGCCGUAAAAGCACAACACAAUGUGUUUUCCCUGUUGGGUUGGCAGCAAGCAGCACCAUGCGGUAAGCAGGGGUGUUGCAGAAACGCCGGAACUUAAUACCGGCAAA
rnacentral:sRNA from 12 species